rnacentral:rRNA from 1 species
CGAAAGGGGUGCUAAUACCGGAUAAGCCCACGGGGUCCUCGGACCMWRCAGGAAAAGGUGGCCUCUAUUUAUAAGCUACCGUAUCAGGAUGGGUCCGCGUACCAUUAGCUAGUUGGUGGGGUAAUGGCCCACCAAGGCGACGAUGGUUAGCUGGUCYGAGAGGAUGAUCAGCCACACUGGAACUGAGACACGGUCCAGACUCCUACGGGAGGCAGCAGUGGGGAAUUUUGCGCAAUGGGGGAAACCCUGACGCAGCAACGCCGCGUGAGUGAUGAAGGCUUUCGGGUCGUAAAGCUCYGUCAGAGGGGAAGAAAUGAGCCUGGCUAAUAUCCAGGUUUCUUGACGGUACCCUCAAAGGAAGCACCGGCUAACUCCGUGCCAGCAGCCGCGGUAAUACAAG